rnacentral:rRNA from 1 species
UACAGAGGUCUCAAGCGUUGUUCGGAUUCAUUGGGCGUAAAGGGUGCGUAGGCGGCGCGGUAAGUCGGGUGUGAAAUCUCGGAGCUUAACUCCGAAACUGCAUUCGAUACUGCCGUGCUUGAGGACUGGAGAGGAGACUGGAAUUUACGGUGUAGCGGUGAAAUGCGUAGAUAUCGUAAGGAAGACCAGUGGCGAAGGCGAGUCUCUGGACAGUUCCUGACGCUGAGGCACGAAGGUCAGGGGGAGCAAACGGG